ACUCGUAGGUCCAAAUCGCGUAGCCAUGAGUUCACCUGAGUUGUAAAAUGAAUAACUUCUUCAUCUCAACUCUGAUUGGACUAAUUCCACCUCGAUAUAUGCUCUAGAUGAGGUAAAAAUGUAUCCCAAAUAGUAGUUUAGCUGGAAGAGUUGACCUUUGACUUCGUUCGUGGUGAGCAAGACUCAAGGGUCGUCUUGGAUGGUCUCAUGAUCAUAUCAUAUAUCAUUUUGCUUUUUGAAAUAGUUAGUGUGGUAAAUUAUACCAAAUUGAAGAUAUACUAUUAAUUUUUAUAAUUGGUUAUGAGGAAGCAGAUAGGGCUUCAAAUUUUAAUCGUUUGUUUAAUGCUUGGUAUUUUAUAUGAUUAAACGUAUAACUUGAGGUUGAACACUAGUGAUACCACUAGAUUUAAGUUAGAUAUUCAAAGAAACUUUUAUUCAUAUUAGGAGUGGGUAUUUUGUUUUGGAUGUUUUCAUAUUCCAUUAGAAGAUGGAACCGAAAACAUAAUGAGUUUUUCACUAAAAAAAUUAGAGAGAAAAUAGUCUAGUUUUUCCACACAAACUUAUAAAAUUGUAUAAAUUUAUAUCUAUUGAUAAAACAUAAAAUCAGGAUGAUACUAUAAACUCUAAAAUCUAUAUGUUGAACUCUACUUAAAAACUCAAACAUAAGUUGCCCCAAAACACAUAAAACAUAAUAGUACUAGUGUCAUGGCCCGUGCGUUGCACGACCUAAUUAAAAAUAGUGAAUUUUAACUUUAAAUUAACAUUAAAAAAAGAAAUAAAUAAUAUGUCUUUGUUUUCCUUCAUCAAAUUAUCAUCUUUAUCUUCUAAUCUGAUUCUCGUCUCAUCGGCGCCCACCGAUCUCAUGCUCUCCAUCUCCAAUAGAGUUAAAUCAUCCACCGAAUGUUUCAAUUUCAGCAAAGCUUUAGCAGGGAUCCAUCGAGAGAUCAUCCUGAAACGGGGAAAAAUUAUACAAUGGGGAUGCUACUUACUAAUUAGGAAUUCCAGAACGCAAGUCCAAUCAUUCUUUUUAAAGCAAGGUUAACAACUUUCACCGUGAAGAUGACUCUGUUGCCAUUACCCAUUAGUCGAAGCUCUUCUAGGGGUGCUUUUGGACAUCACACAAAGUAAUUCUUCAGUAAGUUUUUGUAUCUCCAUCAUAUGUUCCAGAAUAGGCACUUUAUCUGUAUGUUUUUAAUUUUUGGUAAUUCCGUUGAUGUUAACUGUCAUGGUACUGUGACGGUAAAGAUAAAGCGAAUGUAGAAUUCAUGUAAGGGAUUCCACCAACGAGAGUUUUAUCCUAAUCAUUUCUUGUAAAAUAGACAAGUUAUUACCGAACCUUCAAACUUGGGCUUUGGUUUGAUUAGGCUGACGAUAGACAGACCGUAACAUUUUAAAUAUGCAAAAUGGAUCUCCGGUAAGGUGAGCAAUGUUGUUGAUGAAAUGGUAUAAGUAUAAUGAUGUAAACGAUAUGGGUAAGAAUGGGAUGGCUGGCUAUGAUGUUCGACGCAAUUUUGAGCUACACGAAGAGUGGUAACCGUGCCUGGAGGGAACUCUGCUGUCGUAGCUGGUAGAGUGGGUUGUUGCCGCACCACCUUUUUAUUUUAUUUUGAGUUUUAUUUAUUUUCUGUAAUAAUCAUUAUUAUUCUUUUAUAUCUAAGAAAUUAUAAUUAAAAAGUGCAAGCACCAAAAUAGAAAUCCAAUAUCUUAUUUUGUUCCCUUCUUCUUUACUAGCUUCCUUUUCAAAGGUCUAGUAGCUAGUGUGCAUGUGGAGGUGGACACGGACGUGGACGUGGGCAUGGACGUUGAUAAUGGUAUGAUCUUCGAGAACCACUUCCUUGGCUACCGCAUGAACAAGAUGGAGUUGCAGCUAUCUCUUUACUAGGUUCUUCUACUGUGGAUAUAUCAGUGAGGACUUGAUGUUAGAAAUUAUGAAAAUAUCAAUUUUAGGUUUUUAAUACAGAAUGGUAGUAACAAAAAUAACGAUAGAAAUUCUGGAGAAAACUAAAUUACCUGUCAAAAAUAGAAAAACCCAAAAAAAAGACUAAACUAAUCCUACAAUUUUUGUGUGUAAAUAGUGCAUGGUUCUUGCUAAUUUUGUAAUUGUAGUAAUAAUAUAUUAAAAGAAACAGUAAUAUAAAUUAACUUUGAAAUUA